rnacentral:piRNA from 1 species
UGAUGACAUAAAAAUGUCUUCAGGUUC